rnacentral:lncRNA from 1 species
AAUUAUUUAGCCGUUUGAUUUUGAUAUAUUAUCAAAGGUCAUUUUCGUCCAUGCUGCAUCCAAAACCUAAAUAACAAAAAAAAACACUUUAGAAAUAAUUAAAUAUAAUUUCAAUCUAUUUAUAGUUGAUUGUGUUUUUUUGGCAAAAGAAUUCUAUUAAUAUAAGAUUAUUCUUUUUGGUAAUUGCUAUUAUUGGUCCACUCGAAGAACAAUCUAUUCCUCGUGAAAAGAAUUGUGUUCGAAUCUUAAAAAUGAAAAUUUUAUAAUAAUAUAUUUAAUAUAAUUGAAUUCGAGAUAUCAGAAUCAAUUUCAGAUGCUAGAUGGGGAAAAUUAUUAUUGAUAUCAAUUUUCAAAAGGUUAUAAUAAGAAAAAUAUAAAAAACAUGCAAGAAAAGAAAAUUAAAUUAGAUUCUCAAAAACAACAACCUCAUUGAACGAAUGUUCUAGAUGUAACUUAAUGUUGAGUAUUAAUGUCGGAAGAUAAGAAAGACAAAAUACAAAAACACAUUACUCAUUAAAUAUUUUACUUCAACAAAAAUCAUUAUUUUUAAAUUUUAUGAAAUUUAUUUUCAUAAAAAAUAUAAAAAUUUAAAUUAAAAAAAUUAAAAAUAUUUUUCUUCGUAUUAAACCGUUUCAAAUCGAAAUUCGGUGCCCAACGUACCCCACAAAUUUGCCGACCCACGAGUUAGAGGUAGGGGUCACUCUAACCCCUAAAAAGGACAAAGAAAAAUAUGGAAACUACUACAUACAUCCACCUCCUCAAUAUCACUUCAAUUAUUGAAUUUUAAUUUUUCAAUUUUGUCGUCUCGUAUUUGAUAUUCGUAUUAAAUAUUUUAAUUCGAAUUUAUAUAUUAUAAAAUUUAUUUCCAAACUGUAUACUACAAAAAUAUUUUGGAUAAGAUAUUGUAUCCUUAAAUUAUGAUUGAAAUUCAGAGACACAUUAAUUAAACUACGAUUCUAUUACUCUUUAAGCUUUUUUCUUUUUUUUUUUAAUUUUGUACGCAUUUUUCACUUACGUAGUCUUCAAACAUCUUUCACAUAUCUUAUUUAAGUGAAGUCCCGAAACGUGCAAGAUCAAUAAAAUUAUACAAAAAAUGAGUUUUGAUGAUAAUAAAAUCUUAAAUUAAUUAAGAUAUAUUUCUAAGAUUUCGAUCAGAUACGUGAUCUCUAAUUAAAGAUAGAGAAUUGGGACUUCAAUUAUUACUCUUCAUACACUAGAAGGCCAAUUUUUCUCCAUAAAUACCCCUUUCACUCCUCACUCCUCAUCAAUUCCACUGCACUCUGUUUUUCUCAAAUCACAAAAUUAACCUAUUCUUUAUCUUUCUUUUUGGUGUACAAUACAAAUGGCAAAAGAUAUGGAGGUUGGUACUGAAUAUGCACCAAAAGAUUACCAAGACCCACCUCCAGCACCCUUAAUUGAUCCUGAAGAGUUAGGAAAAUGGUCAUUUUACAGAGCUAUAAUUGCUGAAUUCAUAGCUACUCUGUUAUUUCUCUACAUAACUGUCCUUACUGUUAUUGGCUACAAAAGCCAGAGCUCCACUGAUCAAUGUGGUGGAGUUGGUAUUCUUGGAAUCGCUUGGGCAUUUGGGGGUAUGAUCUUUGUACUUGUUUACUGUACUGCGGGUAUUUCUGGUGGACACAUUAACCCUGCUGUUACAUUCGGCCUUUUCUUAGCUCGAAAAGUAUCGUUGGUUCGAGCUAUCAUGUACAUUGUAGCUCAAUGUUUAGGAGCCAUUUGUGGUUGUGGAUUAGUAAAAGCUUUUCAAAAAGCUUAUUAUGUCAAAUAUGGCGGUGGUGCCAAUACGUUGAACGAUGGAUAUAGUACUGGUACUGGUUUGGGUGCGGAGAUCAUUGGAACAUUCGUUCUUGUUUACACUGUUUUUGCUGCUACCGAUCCUAAGAGGAACGCCAGAGACUCACACGUUCCUGUAAGUAUAAUUUUCAUAUACAUAAAUAUAAAAAUUUAAUGAUUGUUCCGUUCAAUUAAACUUCAAUUCCGAUCCUUUUUUUAAGGUACUUGCGCCUCUACCCAUUGGAUUUGCGGUGUUUAUGGUUCACUUGGCUACAAUUCCUGUAACUGGAACUGGAAUUAAUCCUGCAAGGAGUUUUGGUGCUGCUGUUGUUUAUGGACAUAACAAAGCUUGGGAUGAUCAAGUAAGUAAAUUUAUGAGUUUUGGUUACUAUUUUGAAACGGUAUAAUUUAAUUGAAUUUUUGGUUAUUAAAAUUGUGAACAGUGGAUAUUUUGGGUUGGACCAUUUAUUGGUGCUGCAAUUGCUGCAUUUUAUCAUCAGUUUAUUUUGAGGGCUGGAGCUGUUAAAGCACUUGGUUCAUUCAGGAGCAAUGCUUAAUUAGUACAAUUAUCAUGAAGAAUUGAAAAUUGUAUAUAUAAGUAUUUGAGAAGAAAAAAAAGUCUCUUUGAAUUAUGUUGUUAGAGUUGUGUUGGAUGUUUGGCACUUAAUUUUAGAUUUGCCAAACACUACAUUUCUACUUUAUUUCCCUUUUUUCUUUGUGUGUGUUGGUGUUUUUGUAAUUUUUACUAUGCUAAUGUUUUAAGCAUCUAAAUAAUGAAAAUAGCAAGGCUAUUGUCCAUUUAACUUUCCCCCCUUCCCUAUUAUAAUGAAUCUUCGGUCUAAUUCAAUUCUAAAAAUUAGUUAAAAAGCGAUUAUUAUUUAUGACCAUAAAUUAUACACCCUUUUUAUCAUUUUGAUGUGUGACUGGUCAAUAUGCAAUGCCACGCUUAGAUAUGGACAUUUCAAUAUGGGGCCAACAUUGAGAUUUUAUGGAUUAAGUCGCGUUAGCUCAUUUUUAUAUGAAUCAAAAAAUGAUCGGCCCAACUCACAAGUACGUGGAUUACAAGUUUGUUGAGACAAUCCAUUUUUUAAAAAAUUUAUAUUUUCUUAUAAUUAUUAAAUUAAAUUAUAAAUUCUUAAAUAUUAUCAUAAAUAUCGGCAAAACAAUAUUAGGUUACUAUUUGUUAAUUAAAUUCACAAAUAAAAUUAUCUUUAUAAUAUUUAUUAAGUGUUUUUUUAAAAAAAUAAAAUAGAAAUAUCUAAAUAGAAAUAUUAACCACUUUGGUAUUCAAAAAAAAAUAGAAAUAUCUUCUAGCCUCUUUAUUUAUAACUUUUGUUAUGUUUAAACUAAAAAAGAAAAUACUAUCGUAAAAUUGUUGUUAUGCGAUCAAAAUGUCACAUAUUUUAAGUCGUGGAUAUAAUCUUUUCUAAAAAAUGUAUGUUUUUUUUAGUGACGUAGCCAAAAAUUUUCAUAAAGUGCAUGCCUAAGAUACUUUUGAGCCCAAUUUCCACUGAGCUACUAGCAAACUGCUGCUGCAGUUCACAGGGGCAUCAUGUAGUUUCAUACAUAAUACUGUUCAAAAUAUUACAUGUACCAAUAUAAAGUAUAAUUUAACCUAUAUAUAUAAAACGUAAUUUUUUAACGAAGAAUAUUCAAAUGAACAUCUUAUAAUAACAUAGCUUGCCCUUACUUUUUUUCGUGUUAUUAGUUUACAUCUACUAUAAAAUAGUAAAUAGUGUUUAUUGGUAUCCUCAAGCUCGCUACGAUCUUGUUAGUAAUUACAUCAAUUUCAAUUAACGUAAAUACUCUAAACAACCUUAUCACAAUUCACAACCUUCAAAUUUAGCUCACAUUAAGCUUACAAAUUAAUUCUUUUGAUAAAUCGCAAAUAUCAUAUAAAUUGAAACGAAGUGAGUGUGCAACUAAUCCUCAAACUCAAUUAGGUAUAUGUUUUAGGGGGAAAAAAAAAACAGAUGUAGAGUUAUUUCAAUUCUUAACAAUACUCAAAUACAAAAUCACAUAUCUAAUUAAUUAAACCAAAAUUUUUAGGGAAAAUAAAAUAAAAAACAGAAUUCCCCUACCUAGAAAUAUUAUUAAAUCAAUCCUCAAAAUCAUCUUCUUCUGCUUCUUCAAAUAUAGUGUCCAGUUUGGGAGAAACUGAAAUCUUAUUUGGUGCCUUUACUACUACUGGAACAGCAACUUCCAUCCAACAUUUUGCUUCCCUUUUAAUCGCCAUUUCUUUUUCUGAGACUCUACUCGUGAAAUUACACGAAAUAGAGUGUUCAGUACUACUCUGCUCUGUUUUAUUUUGAUUGUAUUUUUGUUGUUGGGUUUGAUUGAAGUGAGAAAAGAGCUAUAUUUAAAGGCCAAGUGUCGGUAGAAAGGCAGUGGAAACAUCGCCGCAGUGAAUAUUGUCGUGUUCGAUGUUUGCUCAAUUUCGGGGUAAAAGGCAUAAAACAUGUGGGAAUUACGCAC